UGGGGAAUUUUGCACAAUGGGGGAAACCCUGAUGCAGCGACGCCGCGUGAUUUAGAAGGCCUUCGGGUUGUAAAAAUCUUUUUUACGGGAUGAAAAUGACAGUACCGUAAGAAUAAGGUCCGGCUAAAUACGUGCCAGCAGCCGCGGUAAUACGUAUGGACCGAGCGUUGUCCGGAAUCAUUGGGCGUAAAGGGUACGUAGUCGUCCUAGUAAGUUAGAAGUGAAAUAAUAUAGCUCAACUAUAUAAAGCUUUUAAAACUGCUAGGCUUGAGAGAUGGCAGGGAAAUUGGAAUUCCUAGUGUCGCGGUGAAAUGCGCAGAUAUUAGGAAGAAUACCGGUGUCGAAGGCGACUUUCUGGUCAUCAUCUGACGCUGAGGUACGAAAGCGUGGGUAGCAAACAGG
rnacentral:rRNA from 1 species